CCUUUGACGUUAGCGGCGGACGGGUGAGUAACACGUGGGUAACCUACCUAUAAGACUGGGAUAACUUCGGGAAACCGGAGCUAAUACCGGAUAAUAUUUCGAACCGCAUGGUUCGAUAGUGAAAGGUGGUUUUGCUAUCACUUAUAGAUGGACCCGCGCCGUAUUAGCUAGUUGGUAAGGUAACGGCUUACCAAGGCGACGAUACGUAGCCGACCUGAGAGGGUGAUCGGCCACACUGGAACUGAGACACGGUCCAGACUCCUACGGGAGGCAGCAGAU
rnacentral:rRNA from 1 species